rnacentral:rRNA from 1 species
GAAUGCUGACAUAAGUAACGAUAAAGCGGGUGAAAAGCCCGCUCGCCGGAAGACCAAGGGUUCCUGUCCAACGUUAAUCGGGGCAGGGUGAGUCGACCCCUAAGGCGAGGCCGAAAGGCGUAGUCGAUGGGAAACAGGUUAAUAUUCCUGUACUUGGUGUUACUGCGAAGGGGGGACGGAGAAGGCUAUGUUGGCCGGGCGACGGUUGUCCCGGUUUAAGCGUGUAGGCUGGUUUUCCAGGCAAAUCCGGAAAAUCAAGGCUGAGGCGUGAUGACGAGGCACUACGGUGCUGAAGCGACAAAUGCCCUGCUUCCAGGAAAAGCCUCUAAGCAUCAGGUAACAUCAAAUCGUACCCCAAACCGACACAGGUGGUCAGGUAGAGAAUACCAAGGCGCUUGAGAGAACUCGGGUGAAGGAACUAGGCAAAAUGGUGCCGUAACUUCGGGAGAAGGCACGCUGAUAUGUAGGUGAAGCGACUUGCUCGUGGAGCUGAAAUCAGUCGAAGAUACCAGCUGGCUGCAACUGUUUAUUAAAAACACAGCACUGUGCAAACACGAAAGUGGACGUAUACGGUGUGACGCCUGCCCGGUGCCGGAAGGUUAAUUGAUGGGGUUAGCGGUAACGCGAAGCUCUUGAUCGAAGCCCCGGUAAACGGCGGCCGUAACUAUAACGGUCCUAAGGUAGCGAAAUUCCUUGUCGGGUAAGUUCCGACCUGCACGAAUGGCGUAAUGAUGGCCAGGCUGUCUCCACCCGAGACUCAGUGAAAUUGAACUCGCUGUGAAGAUGCAGUGUACCCGCGGCAAGACGGAAAGACCCCGUGAACCUUUACUAUAGCUUGACACUGAACAUUGAGCCUUGAUGUGUAGGAUAGGUGGGAGGCUUUGAAGUGUGGACGCCAGUCUGCAUGGAGCCGACCUUGAAAUACCACCCUUUAAUGUUUGAUGUUCUAACGUGGGCCCCUUACCGGGGUUGCGGACAGUGUCUGGUGGGUAGUUUGACUGGGGCGGUCUCCUCCUAAAGAGUAACGGAGGAGCACGAAGGUUGGCUAAUCCUGGUCGGACAUCAGGAGGUUAGUGCAAUGGCAUAAGCCAGCUUGACUGCGAGCGUGACGGCGCGAGCAGGUGCGAAAGCAGGUCAUAGUGAUCCGGUGGUUCUGAAUGGAAGGGCCAUCGCUCAACGGAUAAAAGGUACUCCGGGGAUAACAGGCUGAUACCGCCCAAGAGUUCAUAUCGACGGCGGUGUUUGGCACCUCGAUGUCGGCUCAUCACAUCCUGGGGCUGAAGUAGGUCCCAAGGGUAUGGCUGUUCGCCAUUUAAAGUGGUACGCGAGCUGGGUUUAGAACGUCGUGAGACAGUUCGGUCCCUAUCUGCCGUGGGCGCUGGAGAACUGAGGGGGGCUGCUCCUAGUACGAGAGGACCGGAGUGGACGCAUCACUGGUGUUCGGGUUGUCAUGCCAAUGGCACUGCCCGGUAGCUAAAUGCGGAAGAGAUAAGUGCUGAAAGCAUCUAAGCACGAAACUUGCCCCGAGAUGAGUUCUCCCUGACUCCUUGAGAGUCCUGAAGGAACGUUGAAGACGACGACGUUGAUAGGCCGGGUGUGUAAGCGCAGCGAUGCGUUGAGCUAACCGGUACUAAUGAACCGUGAGGCUUAA